GGACCCGUGGAGCAGCGGAACGCUCGCCAGCCCCUCACGUUGGAGACGCCGGUUCGAAUCCGGUCGGGUCUA
rnacentral:tRNA from 1 species